rnacentral:tRNA from 1 species
ACCUCUGCUGGUUCAACGUUCCGGUCGGUGCCCAGCACCGGCACCCGGAUUUCCUGGUGCUGCAUCCGGGCAGGGGCC